GACGAACGCUGGCGGCGUGCUUAACACAUGCAAGUCGAACGGAAAGGCCCUGCUUUUGUGGGGUGCUCGAGUGGCGAACGGGUGAGUAACACGUGAGUAACCUGCCCUUGACUUUGGGAUAACUUCAGGAAACUGGGGCUAAUACCCGAUAUGAGCUCCUGCUGCAUGGUGGGGGUUGGAAAGUUUCGGCGGUUGGGGAUGGACUCGCGGCUUAUCAGCUUGUUGGUGGGGUAGUGGCUUACCAAGGCUUUGACGGGUAGCCGGCCUGAGAGGGUGACCGGGCCCCAGGGGACUGAGGGAGGGACCAGGAUGCUAAGGGGGGCAGCAGGGGGGAAUAUUGCACAGUGGGGGGAAGGCUGAUGCAGAAACGCCGGGGGGGGGAAGAGGGCCUUUGGGUUGUGAAACGCUUUUGGCUGUGACGAAGGGUGAGUGACGGUAAUGGGUAAAGAAGCACCGGCUAACUACGUG
rnacentral:rRNA from 1 species